AGCGUUUGGUAUGGGAUAAGGAUAGGAAUAGACCCUUAUUCCCUCCUUUAUAUCCAAACGCUAAUUUUUUAUCCGAAAAUAGUAGUUCUCGGUUAUCCCCACCAACACUUCGAUUUUCUAUAUAAAACUAUCUAAAAUUGUUCGAAUCUCCAGAAACAAUCCAAUUUUCAUCCAAACGCUAUUUUUUUUAUCCCCGUACUUGUACCUAUUCCUGUAAUAGUUAAUUCUUGUUUAUAUCGGAAUCAAACGGUGCCUUAGCCUCCGUUUGGUUGGGGUUAAGGGGUGGAAUAACCCCUUAACCCCCAUUUUAUCCCCAAACACUUCUAAAAAGGGGUGGGGUUAGCUAACCCCAGCUAACCCCACCUCAAAUAGAUUAUUCCGGGUUAGCUAACCCCACCUAACCCCACCAAACUCCAACCAAACACUAUUUUCUAUUCAUAAUAACCCACUAUCCUUCUUAUUCCACCUACUUCAACCAAACACUAUUUUUUACUAUCCUGGACUAACUCCAACCCCCAACCAAACACAAAAAUACUCUAACCCCACCUUAACCUUAAAUUUAACUCUAUUUCUGGAAUAACUAAUUUUUUCUUAACUCCGAACCAAACGGUAGCUUAGAGAAUAGUGAUCUCUUGGUCCAGAAAGAAAAUGAAAAAAAGGUGAAAGUUAAUUUUUUUUGAGUUUGAUCAUAAGUA
rnacentral:lncRNA from 1 species